GGGGCGGUAGCUCAAUUGGUUAGAGCCCCGGCCUGUCACGCCGGAGGUUGCGGGUUCGAGUCCCGUCCGCCUCG
rnacentral:tRNA from 1 species